GACGAACGCUGGCGGCGUGCCUAACACAUGCAAGUCGAACGAAACGUCCGGGUCUUUGGGCGCAGGGUGGCGUAAGGCGGGGGGAGCUGCACUUGGGUACGGCAUACCUCCCCGAAGGGGAUGCUAAUGCCAGAUAGUGUCUUAGGGCCAAAGAUUUAUUGCCUUUGGUUGGGCGCUCGUUGGAUUAGCUGGUUGGUAGGGUAAUAGCCUACCACGGGGACGAUGCAUAGCUGGUCUGAGAGGAUGAUCAGCAACACUUGGGCUGAGACACGGCCCAGAAGCCUACGCGAGGCAGGAGAGGGUAACAUAGGACAAGGGGGGAAAGUCUGAUCCAGCAAGGCCGCGUGAGUGAUGAAGGCCGUAGGGAUGUAAAGUGCUUUUACCCGGGAUGAUAAUGACGGUACCGGGUGAAUAAGCUCCGGCUAACUCCGUG
rnacentral:rRNA from 1 species